CACCUUUCGGGGUGAGUGGCGGACGGGUGAGUAACGCGUGAGAAUCUGCCUUUUGGUCGGGGACAACCACUGGAAACGGUGGCUAAUACCGGAUGUGCCUGCGGGUAAAAGAUUUAUUGCCAGAAGAAGAGCUCGCGUCUGAUUAGCUAGUUGGUAGGGUAAAAGCCUACCAAGGCAUCGAUCAGUAGCUGGUCUGAGAGGAUGACCAGCCACACUGGGACUGAGACACGGCCCAGACUCCUACGGGAGGCAGCAGUGGGGAAUUUUCCGCAAUGGGCGAAAGCCUGACGGAGCAAGACCGCGUGAGGGAGGAAGGCUCUUGGGUUGUAAACCUCUUUUGUCAGGGAAGAAGAAAGUGACGGUACCUGACGAAUCAGCAUCGGCUAACUCCGUGCCAGCAGCCGCGGUAAUACGGAGGAUGCAAGCGUUAUCCGGAAUUAUUGGGCGUAAAGCGUCCGCAGGUGGCACUUCAAGUCUGUCGUCAAAGACCGGGGCUUAACCCUGGAAAGGCGAUGGAAACUGAAAGGCUAGAGAGAGGUAGGGGUAGAGGGAAUUCCCAGUGUAGCGGUGAAAUGCGUAGAGAUUGGGAAGAACAUCGGUGGCGAAAGCGCUCUACUGGACCUCAUCUGACACUCA
rnacentral:rRNA from 1 species